rnacentral:lncRNA from 1 species
GGGGUGAAUGGGUGGCCUCUGCAGGGAGCAGCACCAGCUGACUGGGCAGUGGGGCCGGGGACCUCGACUGACAAUGCCACCAUCACUGUGUGCUAUGUCCCAAAGGCCAAGUGUGGCUGCUAUUGCAGAAGGAGGGGAAUGGAUGUGGCUGGCAAAGGCACGUGCGGUCCUCUGUAGGUUGGGGGUGGGGUGGGGGAGUUGGAAUUCGUCAGUGUUGAGCCAGAAAUUCAUACAGCGUUCCCGCAGGAGUUCUGUUGAGGCAUCCAGCAAGAAAGGACUUCAGGAUCACCAUCCAGGCUUUCUCUAAAGGCGCUCCCUGCAUCCGCACUGCGUGGGGGUGGGUCUUGUUGAUGCCAUGGAAUCAGAGGUAUGGGGGGGGGGGUGGGUGAGCUCCAGGUGUGUGUUAGCACAUUUCCUUGGUGAUUUUUCUGCAAACUUCGGCUUGGACCCUGCUUGCCCUUCAAGCUUUUUGAUUUCAAGAGUGGUGUGCUGGCUGCUCUCUGACUCCGUAAGAAUCACAUUCCAGUAAUCUCCACAUGUGAAGCAAACUUCAUCCAAAGACAGGACCGUUGAAGGCUGGAAGGUGUGCUGGGAGAGAAGAAGACCUAAAAAAGUCCACCAAGGAUUUGAUGUAACUUCCAAAAAUGCAAGUAAUUCAAGAUGCUGGACUAAGUUGUUGAGGGAAACAGGAAAAUGAAAAUUUUAAGUAGGAAAAAAAUGAAGCUGGAGAGUUCAUUGCUGACAGAGGUGGCUCGCGAACUUGGCCCCAAGCUUCCAGCUCACAAAGCAAAGAGAGGAACAGGGUUAGCUACAAAAUUCCCACCAGCAGUAAGAUAAAUGCAGGUGAGUCAUUUAGCAGGUGGCCUGCCUCUUCUAUGGCUGACACCUGAGAAGAAUUUCUCCUCCAGGUCCUCAGAAGCAAUAGCGUUGGUUGUUGCAAACUUUGUCUUUGCAAGAGCUCAGGAGACAGUAACAACCUUUGUACAAGCACCAAUUUCUCACAACGUCCCUUAAUGCAAGCAGGUGACCCAAUACCAAAGCAAUG